rnacentral:sRNA from 2 species
UGUUAGGUUGGUGACAUCACAUUCGAGAUUCACCAAGGGAACGGCAAUGGCAAGAUAUGUAUCUACCUGAAGACAUGGCCACAAAAAGUUAACUAUCCUAGCUUAGCACAUUGCGUCGACUAUUAUUCAUAACAGACAGGUUUAUAUGUAUUCGAUAUGUAUUGCCAGAGAAAGAGAGUCAGCAUAAGUAACAAAUAUCGAAGCUCAGUUAUGCUGGAUAUGAAACCAUGUCGCGAAAACAGUCGACUAGAUUUAAUCUAUACUCCCGAAUCCAAAGGCAAUCCUCGACUAGCCAAGAAUAAGCAUAUAUUGUUAUAGAUAUCUGCAAACGUCUUAGGCAGGGGGGAGUGAAGAAACGAUAGAAGAAAAGGCUAGUUGUUGACAUUUUAAAACGUACAUGAGGAAAAACCGAGAGAAAGGACCGAACAAAAGAGUGCGUUGGCAUUUCAACUCGUCCCUGAUCUUGUCAGAAGCAAUUGAACUGUGGUAGCCAGGGGAUGCAAUGGACAAUGUUUCCUUAUGAGGUUUUGAGAAACACCUGGCCAUUUGAUAAGGCUCCCAAGAGAUUUACAUAUUGGGAUAUCCUCGUGGCAUUGGAUGGAUCGAAUCGUAUUCGCAUGCCUGUUAAUGAAUGCUUCAAACGAUGGUAGCA